UACGAAGGGGGCUAGCGUUGCUCGGAAUCACUGGGCGUAAAGGGCGCGUAGGCGGCCAUUCAAGUCGGGGGUGAAAGCCUGUGGCUCAACCACAGAAUUGCCUUCGAUACUGUUUGGCUUGAGUAUGGUAGAGGUUGGUGGAACUGCGAGUGUAGAGGUGAAAUUCGAUAGAUAUUCGCAAGAACACCGGUGGCGAAGGCGGCCAACUGGACCAUUACUGACGCUGAGGCGCGAAAGCGUGGGGAGCAAACAGG
rnacentral:rRNA from 1 species